GAUGAACGCUGGCUACAGGCUUAACACAUGCAAGUCGAGGGGAAACGGCAUUGAGUGCCUGCACUGAAUGGACGUCGACCGGCGCACGGGUGAGUAACGCGUAUCCAACCUUCCCGUUACUGCGGGAUAACCUGCCGAAAGGCAGACUAAUACCGCAUGUUCUUCGAUGACGGCAUCAGAUUCGAAGCAAAGAUCCGUCGGUAACGGAGGGGGAUGCGUCUGAUUAGCUAGUUGGCGGGGCGACGGCCCACCAAGGCGACGAUCAGUAGGGGUUCUGAGAGGAAGGUCCCCCACAUUGGAACUGAGACACGGUCCAAACUCCUACGGGAGGCAGCAGUGAGGAAUAUUGGUCAAUGGGCGGAAGCCUGAACCAGCCAAGUAGCGUGCAGGAUGACGGCCCUACGGGUUGUAAACUGCUUUUAUGCGGGGAUAAAGUGGGGGACGC
rnacentral:rRNA from 1 species